rnacentral:lncRNA from 1 species
AACCCGCGAGGUCUCGGCCCAGCCGGUCGCAGCUUCCGCGCGCCCUGAGCCCCCUCCCGGCCCCCUCCUGACCCGACUCUCACCGCAGCCCGCGGUGCCCGGCGGCGCACCACGGACACCCAGUCCAUCCCUGCUACCUAAGCCACAUCUGCCCGGGCGCUCACGCACCUCUCUGCGCGGUUUUCCUUCCCGCCGGAGAACUGGCGCCGCGUGGGUCUGGACCCGGUUACCUUCUUCAGUGCACUGGGGAGGGUGAGGCCAAGGAAGGAAGUGGCUGAGGCAAAGAGAAAGACGGCUGUGGAGGAGGAGGAGCAGGGUAGGGGGAAAAGUAAGUGUUUCUGCGCUCAAGAAAGGGGCCGCCCACACUCCCAGGGACAAGCCUAUGAGGAGGAAACUCAGGGGAGGAGACGUCCAAGAAAGGGGCUGACUGCAGACAGGUGAAGCGCCCUGGGCUCCUAGGAAAACGGGCCCAGAGCCUGGAUUACCUCACUUUUCCACCGUGCUACUCAGAGCCAAGGAUCCCAGGAUCUGCAUCUGAUCCUGGGCGUCGAUUUCCUGAUGGAUUUCUCUCCCAACGUAAGAAACAAAGCGCCCUCAAAUUGCUGAAGGCUGCUAGAAAGAACGUGGCAUUCAUGGGUUCCGGAUGCCGGGGGCCUCCAGAAAACUACGACUCAUGACUUAAAAAUGGCUUAAUUCGCAAAACAAAAUGCAAUCUUGAAAGCCAAUUUGUCAGACUGCAAAGAAAUUUUACUUGGACAUAGAUAGUUGUUGACCCUGGGUCAGUAUCGGUUUCUUCCCUUGUUCAUUCAUUA